rnacentral:tRNA from 1 species
GGACCCAAGGCACAAUGGUAGAGCAUUUGACUCAAUUACCACAGGUCAUGGGUUCGAAUCCCAGUUGGUCCA